CUACGGGAUGCAGCAGUGAGGAAUAUUGCACAAUGGGGGGAACCCUGAUGCAGCAACGCCGCGUGGAGGAUGACGCAUUUCGGUGUGUAAACUCCUUUUAUAUGCCAAGAAAAUGACGGUAGCAUAUGAAUAAGCACCGGCUAACUCCGUGCCAGCAGCCGCGGUAAUAAGGAGGGUGCAAGCGUUACUCGGAAUCACUGGGCGUAAAGGACGCGUAGGCGGGUUGGAAAGUCAGGUGUGAAAUCCUACAGCUUAACUGUAGAACUGCACUUGAAACUUCUAAUCUAGAGUAUGGGAGGGGGAGAUGGAAUUAGUGGUGUAGGGGUAAAAUCCGUAGAUAUCACUAGGAAUACCUAAAGCGAAGGCGAUCUCCUGGAACAUUACUGACGCUAAGGCGUGAAAGCGUGGGGAGCAAACAGGAUUAGAUACCCCGGUAGUC
rnacentral:rRNA from 1 species